rnacentral:rRNA from 1 species
UACAGAGACCCCAAGCGUUACCCGGAUUUAUUGGGCGUAAAGGGUGCGUAGGUGGUUUGGUAAGUGCAAAGUUAAAGCUCAUCGGCUUAACCUUUGAGAUGCUUUGCAUACUGCCAGACUUCGAGGGCGUUAGAGGCUAACGGAACCGACGGAGUAGGGGUGAAAUCCGUUGAUGUCGUCGGGAACACCAAAAGCGAAGGCAGUUAGCUGGGACGACCCUGACACUGAAGCACGAAAGCGUGGGUAGCAAAAAGG